AUUCCAAGCAGCUACACACAAGCUCUUCAAAGAGGUUCUCGCGUUUUCCAGCCAGCAGUGUACGAGUAUUUCGCCUUUUCUAGCCAUCACUUAUCCACCAACUGUAUAAGCUAUCAACAUGGACUCUGUGCCACCUGAAUAAAACGCAUCAGUAAGGCACACUGGGGCGAGGAAGAGUCACUGCGCCUGGCCCAAUUAUACCAGGACGAAGUAAAGAUGUUUAAAGGAAGCUUCAAAAUGGAGGGAGUUUCCAAAAUAAAAAAGCAUGUAAUAUGGGAAGCAAUCGCUUCCACUCUAAAUAAUACAUUUCACAACAAUAGAACUGCUGAAGAGGUGGUUUUUCAUCUGCUCCCGAUCCAGACAAAGGAUUCAACGUUCCCGUGAGGAACAUAAUAGAACCGUGACACCGCGGAAGCAGCAGCAGUCUUUUCCAUCCCGUUGGAUGACUCUACUGAUGCUCAGCAGCAGCAUGCUGAGCCUCCUUUAGAUCAGGAGGCACAUGUGGCAGCUGCUCGGGCAGUGGAAGUGGCUGCUGAUGCAUACACGUCUGCUGCUCGGGCAGUGAAGGCUGCCAUGCACCUGAAAAUAAAAUAUUACCAAAAAAAAAAUAAUAAUAAUAGACGGUAAUAAAACAGACAAAUGAA